rnacentral:rRNA from 1 species
UACGUAGGGUGCGAGCGUUAAUCGGAAUUACUGGGCGUAAAGCGUGCGCAGGCGGUUCGUUAAGUUCGAUGUGAAAGCCCCGGGCUCAACCUGGGAACUGCAUUGGAAACUGGCGAGCUUGAAUGCGGCAGAGGGGGUGGAAUUCCACGUGUAGCAGUGAAAUGCGUAGAGAUGUGGAGGAACACCGAUGGCGAAGGCAGCCCCUGGGAUAAGACUGACGCUCAUGUACGAAAGCGUGGGAGCAAACAGG